rnacentral:rRNA from 1 species
UACGUAGGGGGCAAGCGUUGUCCGGAUUCAUUGGGCGUAAAGAGCGUGUAGGCGGCCAGGUAGGUCGGUUGUGAAAACUGGAGGCUCAACCUUCAGAGGUCGACCGAAACCAUCUGGCUAGAGUCCGGGAGAGGAGAGUGGAAUUCCUGGUGUAGCGGUGAAAUGCGCAGAUAUCAGGAAGAACACCCGUGGCGAAAGCGGCUCUCUGGAACGGUACUGACGCUGAGGCGCGAAAGCGUGGGUAGCAAACGGG